rnacentral:lncRNA from 1 species
UCAUUUCCCUAACAGUUCCAGCACAUGUAGCUUUAGGUUUAAUAUCAGAUAACAUGGCACACCCCUACAGUCAUUGACUUAACUGAGAAAAUAUUUUGUCCUCUUGAUUCAAUACGAAACUUGGCAUCUAAAGACAGUCACAAAUAGGUCUGCUUUUCUUCCUGAGAAAAGCAACAANUUUGUCCUCUUGAUUCAAUACGAAACUUGGCAUCUAAAGACAGUCACAAAUAGGUCUGCUUUUCUUCCUGAGAAAAGCAACAAUAAUCAAUUCAACAAUUUUCAUUCGAGUCCAUACACUUUCUCCUCAAAUACAGAAGACUAGAAAAUUAUUGAGGUCUCGAUUACCAAAAUAAAUUUCAGACACAUAAAUCAAAAUCAAAUCCCCCGAAAUUACUUCGAUUCAUGGAUUUUUCCGCCAGUUGGUUCCAGGACUCAACUCUCUUCAAGAUUAUAAUUUACAAAGAAGCAAUUUAUUCAUAACAGUGGAUUUACAAUGCUGUCCAAAAACAGUACACACCCAGAAAAAAAUAUUUUCCAUUGAACCCAAAAAGUUAGAUAAAUCAAAAUCUAACAUCCUUCCAAAAAAAAAAAAAAAAAAAAAGUGUCAGAAAACAAAAUUAAAAAUGGUAACAUGCAAGCAUGAGACACUGAUUUUUCUUCAAUAUUACAAAUCGUAAUUCGAAUGAUUCAGACCUAAAGAACGAAAAAUAUAGAUAUCAAAAAUUGCAGCUCAAUCAACAAAAAAACGCACAAGCACUCAAAUAUAUAUCCAAAAGAUAAAAAGAAAGAAAAAAAGAAAAUACGUUCACGCGAACAAUAAUUUGAGUAAAAACAACCCCAAAAAAUGUGUUGAGGCUUUUACUUUCACCAAUUUACUCCAACACUUACUGCAAAAUAGUUCAAGAAAAUGCAAAUCCACAUACACAUUUACUGAAAACCAAUCAGUCUUUUUUAACCAAAAAUUAUAAAUAAUGAC